UGGAUUUCUCAUGCUAAGUAUACCUAUUCUAGAUGAAAUUUCAAACAUCCUUUCUCUUUGACAGCAAAAUCAUUAAGAAAUAGUGGAAUUCCUGCUUUUAUUCUGUGUGGUUGGCAGAAACCCAGUUAAUGCCAGGGUUUAGUAAAUACCUUAUGCAGAUUAAAUCCUGAGAAAAUGUCUGUUGUGCUUUCUGCUGUUGGUGAAUUACCAGAUUUUAGAGAUUUAUAAUUGGCCAGGUUGAGGCACGUUUCUUUUGCAAGGACAACAAAAAACACUUUCCUGAUACCAGCUCUAUUGCCUUUUGCUUGCUUCAACAGCUGCUUAUAAAUAACCGGUUUUAAAUGUCCAUGAGGGAGCAAAGUCCCCAAUGACAGGUUCUGGUUGUUGCUGAGCCCAAAUAAAUCUUUGAGGAAUGAAAGGGAAGGCAGAGAGUGAACAGAGCAGGGACAGGAAGAAGGUUGUGCUGCCACCCUCAGCUGUUUGAAAAUCCAUUAAUCUUUUAUCUAAGAAAAACCUGAAAUAUAGAGAAAUUAAGUUAUUUAAUUUUUUUUUUUAAUAUCUUUGUAGUUUUUUUUUUACAAUCAGACUAAAUAACAAGUUUAGAAAUGUGCACCUUCAGUGAAACAGCUUAGGCUAGAAUAGUUGCUCAGCACACAUAGAAUACAACUUACACAGUAAACUAUAUAAGAUGCUGUAGAUUCUCAGAACUUAAACUACCGUGUUUGCUGGAGCACUUUGCAGAUGUUAAAGGUACUGGUCUUGCUGUGAAAUUUAGAGCUGCUGAUGAAAUAAGACUGUAGUUGGAGAAAGGUGGCUUGAACAUCAUACCUAUCAGGAAAGUUGUUUUGUGCUUCCUGUUUCCCAUUAAUAUACCAAUUUUGAGCUGUUUUAGCUUUUCACUGUAGUGAUGGCAGCACAAGCAAAUAAGAUCAAGAUGAAAAAAGUCAGCUUCCUCGUUUUAUUUGCAUUGUGUUCUAUGUGUAAAGAUUAAAGAAAAAGGUAUUUCAAUUAGCUUUUUUUUGUUAUUAUUCUGCCUGUCUCUCACUUCUGUAUUUGCCUGAAGGAAGCUUGUUUAUAAUGAAGUGUCACAUGUUUACAGUAGGAAAUUAUGAAGGUUUUUUAAUUGGAUAAUAUAUUUUUAAAAAUAUAUAGUUCUGUAUCUAACAUAGUAUACUUCUUCAGUCUGGAGACUUAUAAAAGCUAUACCAGGAUGCCCUUCUUAGUAGUAUUGUUUAACUGUCAUGCAACUCUUUCUACCAUUUGCUAUUUGUAAUUCCUGUUAGGAUUUCCAAAUGAAGUGGCAAUAACAGUAGGAAGUUUAAAUUUGUUCAGAUUUGGUGGAUCCUCAGUGUUAAAGUCUUUUCAAUUCAAAUCCUGUUAAACAGAUAAUGACUUAAAUAUAAAUGCUUUAGGUUCAUUUUCUGUUUAGGCAGCUGCUUUGUAUUUACAGUAGUUGUCUUUGAAAUCAAUGAUCUAAAUAGUAAAACAGACAGUCUUGUUUCUUUACUAUGGCAGUGAUUCUUGCACUUGAGAGGAAGGUGUAAACUGUUUUCCAGAUUACUCGAAGCAGUUGCUUUUGCACCAAGCUAAGUGCUAGCUCAACACUGGAAAAAGGUUCUGCCACCAAAGUUCUCCAUUGAAGAAAGCUUUUUACUUUCCUCCAGUACCUACAGGCCAUCUCUGAAGCACUCCAAAAAAACCUCGCAUCUGUCACUUCCGGAUCUGAUACCCCUGUAUGUUGGGCUUAUAUGACAAAGUUUUAGUAGUUGGGGAGCACUGUAGGGUGGCAUCUACAAGAAUGUGUCAGGGCUUCCCUGUGCAAGACACAGCCAGCUCUGCAACAAAGACCCAAGUGGAGCACGUCAGGGAGAAAGUGCAAAAAUGCUGGACAGGCAGAGGAGUGAGAAACAGCACAGUGAACAACAAGAUGAGAGAAAGGGGAAGGGAGGUGCUCCAGAAAUCAGAGUGGGUAUUUCCAUGGAGCACAGCGAGAGGGCCACAGUGAAACGGGUGUUCCACUGCAGCUUAUGGAGCAGGUAUUCAUUCACACUGCAGCCUGUGGAAGACUUCACAUUGGAGCAGCUGGAUAUUUCCUGAAGGAUCUGUGGCCUGUGGAGAACCCACAAUGGAGGAGGGGAAAAGUGUGACGAGGAAAAGGCAGUAGAGAGGAAUUAUACCCAUUACCAAUCCUGCCUAUGCCAACUGGGGGUUAGGGAGGUAGAGGAGCUGGGAGUUAAGUUGAGCCUGGGAAAAGGUGGAGUGGGGAAGCACUUUAAUUUUUGUCUUUUUCUCAUUAUCCAAAUUAGUUUUAAUUUGCAAUAAAUUAAUUUUCCUCAAGUCCAUUUUGCCUGUAAUGGUCAUUGGCAAAUGAUAUCCUGAUAUUUAUCUUGAUGACCUUCAUCUUAUUUCUCCCUCCACUGAGAAGGGGGACAGAGAGGAGCUGAGCUGGGGACUAGCUACUGGCCAAGAUCAACCCAUUGCACUCCUAGUACUGAAGCAUUUAGUACUGAAUACUGGUAUUUAAGCACUGGUAUCCAGGUAUGUCAGUUUGGCACCUGACUUGUAUUGGAGUCUCCAAUUAUCCUCUGCUUUCCUCUGCAUAUGGACGUGGUAAUUUAGCAGGAGGCUUUAAUUCCUGUGCACCUUAGUGGUAAAUAAUCAGGCAAUCAUCUGUAAAUUAGCAGCAACUUUCUCCUGUAUCUUGCUCUUUUUUUCCUAAUCUGUGUAACUCAUAAGACUGUCCAGGCCUUGAAAAGAAUAUUCUGUACAGUGAAAGAAAAUUUGUUUUUCAUGCACUGCUCCUAACAAAAAAACAAAAUUGUGUACUUUUGCAACAUUGCUUGUCCUCCAAACUAAGCCAAUGAAGAAGCAGUUCACAAAGAUAAAAAGCUGUAAAUACAUUCAAGAAACAGUUUAAUACUUCUGCACAAAAAGGGCACCGUAAAGAGGUACAUUUUUGAGGCAAGUAGGUGUAUAUUCCUUGGCUGCCAGGGUGUCUAACAGCCAAAUUCCUUGUUAGAUGCUCACUUGCUUGCUUCCCACACAAUGGCACAGGGGAGAAAAUGGGAAGAACAGAAAGGAGAGCGUGUGAGUUAAGAACAUGGCCACUGCUUACCACUUGCCAUCAUGGGCAAAACAGACUCUGUUUGGGUAAAAUAACUCAAAUUAUUGCUUAUUAAAAUAAAUAUUUAAUUAUUAAUUCAGGUAGUAGAAACAAAAAGAUACAUUACAACACUGCCUUUCCUCUCUCCCAGGCUCAGUGUCGCUCCAGGUUCCCUUGUGACCACCACAGCCUGCCCCUCUGGUGCAAGGGUAGUGGGUGUGCAGUGUCCACAGUCUGUACCUAAUGGUUUCUCUCUGCCUUUGGGCUUUCCUCUCCUGUUUCUUCAUUCUUUUGGUUCCUGUUUUCUCUGUCCAUCUGGCACUUUUUCCCCUUUCUUAAAUGUGAUUUCCCAGAGAUUCAGCCCAAAUGGCUGCUGGGCUCAGCUGUGCCCUGCAAUGGUCUGUUGGAGCCAGCCAGGACUGUCUGUGUCCAGCACAGGGCAGCCCCUCACCUGUCCUGACAGAUGCUGCCAAGAGUGUGCUGUGGACACCCAAUACUUGGCCAUACAGUUUUCAUCUAGCAGUUUUUCAUGUUACAAGAUACCACAUCAAGUCAGCAAAAAGGUGUUAGUCAAAGGUGUAGUUAAGAAUUAAUAAAAGGCUUUGAUGUUCUUACUGACAGUUCCAUGAAAAGAGUUUCUGUGUGCAGCAGCACAGGAAAUAGCCAGCAAAAGGCAAGACACCAUCAGGAAAGAGCUCAGGCACACAAAACAGCCCAAGUUUGAAACAGAGAACCAAGGAAGAAAGGUAUGAAAUUAAAUAUAUUCAGGGGAUUUAACUAUGAUUAAAAUGUGAUUUUUUUUUU